UGCAACUUAAAAAAAAAGUGCUUCUCCUUCAUUCAUAUUCAUAUAAUAUAUCAUCUUGCCUUCUCCUUCAUUCAGAUUUCAGAUCUCGUGCUGCCGACUCCGAUUGACAGACGAUGGGGGUAGAAAUUGUGAAGUAUUCGAGUUUGUUUGAAUCACUAAGAAGGAUAAUUUACUAUCUCCUGGGAGUACGACGACCACCACCAAAAUUUGAACUCCAACUCAGCCCGUUGCUCCCUGAAGAACUGGUGGUUGAAAUCUUGUCAUAUUCUCAAUUCGUUAAACUGCACCUUCAUCGUUCAUCUUCUAGAAUCAAUGCAGAUUUUUCCCAUGUCCGCUUUAUCACAAACCGUAAUUUUAUAUCAUAUAUCUCAGUCUCAACUCGGACUUCAUUAUUGGAAACGAAUCUGCUGAUCUCUCCGGGUACCUGUUGAUUGGAGCGUGCCACGGGUUGAUUUGUUUGAGCCGUAUCCAGAUACAUAAAAGGCAUUGCUCCCACAGGGUCUAUUUCUGGAACCCAGCUACGAGGUUACUUUCAGAUGAUUCCCCACCUAUCCAUGUCCCUUGUUAUUUUGGGUUUGGUUAUGAUUCUUCAACGGACACUUACAAGGUGGUGAGUUUUAACCCCCACGAGGCAAUGGUGAGUGUUUACAACAUGGGUGAUAAUGCUUGGAGGACAAUUCAAGUCUUCCCUCAUAUCAAUAUGAAUUUUCAUCCACCUUCAUAUUCUGUGAGUAACACUAUUAAUUGGUUAACAGUUCUAGAUAAUGAUAUUGGAAUGGAUGAUGAUCCCUACAAAAUUGUUUCGUUCGAUUUGGGAACACACAAGUAUACACAAUUGUCAUUGCCUUUUUAUUCUUCACGUAGAGACGUAGCCGGACCUUUAAUACCAAUACUUGGGGUUUUGAGAGGCUGUAUAUGUAUUACUGAAAAUAACAAUACACCUUAUAUUGUGGUUUGGCAAUUGAAGGAUUUGGGAGUGCACCAAUCUUGGACUAAGUUGUUUAGCAUUAAUCGCUCUGAAAAAUUUGUUAAGCUGCCCUGUGUUGCAAUGUGCAUAUCUGAUAAUGGUGAUCUUCUGUUAUUGUCGGUUUCUAGUGACCAAGGACUUUAUGAACAAGGAUUUCUCUAUACCCUCAGACAUGCUAAAUUAGAAGGAACGAAAAUUGAUAAUGAAGUCUGCUUUUGUUAUGCCGAGAAUUAUAUUGAAAGUUUGGUUUCACCUCUCUAAAAUGUUGGUGAUUUACCUUGCCAGAGUAUGUGGAUCCAGGGACAGAGGAGAUGUAAUGCUGAUCUGUGGUGAUGAAAGUGGCUCCCUUAGCUGUGGAAUUGGUACUCAUAUUGAUUGCUGUGAUCCUCCAUUGCCAGAAGUUACUGAGGAGGAUUGGUUCUGUCCAAAGUGCAGUAGCACCCAAAACUGCUCAAACAAUCCAGUUAAAAAGAAAAGGAGUGCACUGUCUUUAUUCAUUCUCCCGUUUUAAUCCGUCACCGCAUGCAUGUAUUGUACCAAUAAAAUUAGACCCUGGUCACUGAAGAUCUGAGUCUUAACUGUUCCCACAUAGCUGUCAGAAUAAUUAUGUACGUUUCUUAUUUACAUUUGUUUACUGUGUGAAGUAUUGUGUUCUAUAAAAUCUUGCAACAAAUUGACAUCAUA